rnacentral:rRNA from 1 species
UUGAUCCUGCCAGUAGUCAUAUGCUUGUCUCAAAGAUUAAGCCAUGCAUGUCUCAGUACAAGCCGCAUUAAGGUGAAACCGCGAAAGGCUCAUUAAAUCAGUUAUGGUUCCUUAGAUCGUACCCACAUUUACUUGGAUAACUGUGGUAAUUCUAGAGCUAAUACAUGCAAACAGAGUUCCGACCGGAGACGGGAGGAAUGCUUUUAUUAGAUCAAAACCAAUCGGCGGCGGGUGCGUUCGCGCGCGCGUUCGCCGCUCAACCUGGUGACUCUGAAUAACUUUCGGCUGAUCGCACGGUCCAGCACCGGCGACGCAUCUUUCAAAUGUCUGCCUUAUCAACUGUCGAUGGUAGGUUCUGCGCCUACCAUGGUCGUAACGGGUAACGGGGAAUCAGGGUUCGAUUCCGGAGAGGGAGCCUGAGAAACGGCUACCACAUCCAAGGAAGGC